rnacentral:rRNA from 1 species
UAAUACGAAGGGUGCAAGCGUUACUCGGAAUUACUGGGCGUAAAGCGUGCGUAGGUGGUUGUUUAAGUCUGUUGUGAAAGCCCUGGGCUCAACCUGGGAAUUGCAGUGGAUACUGGGCGACUAGAGUGUGGUAGAGGGUAGUGGAAUUCCCGGUGUAGCAGUGAAAUGCGUAGAGAUCGGGAGGAACAUCCAUGGCGAAGGCAGCUACCUGGACCAACACUGACACUGAGNCACGAAAGCGUGGGGAGCAAACAGG